UUGGCUCUCAGAGGCGAUGAAGGACG
rnacentral:rRNA from 1 species